rnacentral:lncRNA from 1 species
UCAGGGAUAAUUUAAGCAAUAGUUAUUAUUUCAAAAUAAAAGUUCUUUGUAAUUUUUGGUUUAGUUUUUGUUAGUUUUUUCUAUAAAUAGGCCAGAAUAUAGAAUAAAAAAAAUUAUAGCAAUUUUUUUAUAAAGAAAAUCAAAUUUUAAAAAAUUUUAAAAAAAAAUUUGAAAGUACUGAGAAUUAAAUCUCAAUCAUAUAAAAAUCUAUUUGAGAAUACGAGAAUCAUUUAAGUUAAU